rnacentral:rRNA from 1 species
UGGGGUAUAUUGGACAAUGGGCGAAAGCCUGAUCCAGCCAUGCCGCGUGUGUGAAGAAGGUCUUCGGAUUGUAAAGCACUUUAAGUUGGGAGGAAGGGCAGUAAGCGAAUACCUUGCUGUUUUGACGUUACCGACAGAAUAAGCACCGGCUAACUCUGUGCCAGCAGCCGCGGUAAUACAGAGGGUGCAAGCGUUAAUCGUAAUUACUGGGCGUAAAGCGCGCGUAGGUGGUUCGUUAAGUUGAAUGUGAAAGCCCCGGGCUCAACCUGGGAACUGGAUCCGAAACUGGCGAGCUAGAGUAGGGCAGAGGGUGGUGGAAUUUACUGUGUAGCGGUGAAAUGCGUAGAUAUAGGAAGGAACACCAGUGGCGAAGGCGACCACCUGGGCUCAUACUGACACUGAGGUGCGAAAGCGUGGUGAGCAAACAGG